GGAGGGGUUCCCGAGUGGCCAAAGGGGGCAGACUGUAAAUCUGUUGCUUUACGCUUCGAUGGUUCGAAUCCGUCUCCCUCCA
rnacentral:tRNA from 1 species